CAGCAAAUUAAGACACAUGUAGUAUCUAAAUUAAAAGAACAAAAUAUUUGAGAAACUUCUGGCACCACCACAGAGAACAAAUUGUCCUCUCUUGGCACUGCCAACAAGUAUAUUACCAUCUCUUGUAGAAUCUGCAGCAUUUUGCUAUUCUACUGCAGAUUCAGAAGACUGCUGAUCAGUAUGGAGAUUGGCAGGGUGACGAUCUCUAGACGCUGGAGUUCCUCGUUCACUACUUACAUUCCUUGAAGCUACAUGCUGAAACCUUCCAAGCAGUGGAUAGUAUAACCCUUUCGAAAUACCAGAAGAAUCUGAUGGUUGGCGACUGAGGGAAGCAGGGACUGUUGCAACCAUGGUCCUCAUUGGCACUAUCCUUACAGCCGGAUCUCGAGCAAAAGCUGAACCACCUGGGACCCUUGAAGUGGCUUGAUUAGUAGGAUCUUCACCACCAGAACUUGUUGCUGGGUUUCUUUGCCCUGACGGCUGAUGAUGUUGAGCUAGGAUAACACCAAACCAAUUGGAACCAACUCAAGGUAAUCCACAGGAAAUAUAUCAAAUGAAAUGCAAGAACAAAAUAUUAAAGACACCAAGAUUUUAACGAGGUUUCUUAACAGUUAGUGUAACUGGAGUACAUCCUCGGAGCAGUAAGAGCUCACCCAAUAAUUCACUAUCAACCAAAUGAGAGUUUACAAAGUGUUGGCAAGCUCACAACCCAAAAAACCCCAAUACAACCAAUAACUCUCACACACCAAAGAAACAAAUAGAGAAAGAAAUAUAGUAAUUAAUUUCUUCUCUAUACAAAGCUCAAAGCUAUUACAACAACAACUAUCUUGGUGGAUGAUUACUAACCAAAGAGAUGAGCACUUUCUUCUUCUCUUCAAAGAGGGAAUGCUGCACUUCUAUUUUUUCUUUUCUGUUUUUCUGGUGCACUCUACAACUACAAUCAGAAAAUGCUCUCUAUUUUCUACACCUUUUACAACUCCCCUUCCAUUUCUCUCAUUUCAGGCUAAAUAAAAAUUCAAGGGUAAAAGACUGUUUACCACCCUCAUGUUUCGUGGUUUUCAACAUUUAGUACAUCAAGUUUUUUUCGUCCCAGAGUCAUACCUAAAGUGUAAAUUUUGGGACAGUCUCAUACAUCUGUUAGUUCUCCCGUUAAGUGAUGACGUGGCGCCCUGAUUGGACGCCACGUGUCAUUAAAAAAAUAAAAAAUUUAUUUAAAUAAAAAUAAUAUUAAAAAAUAUUUAAAUAAAUAUUUAAAUAAUAAAAUAUUUUUUUUUUCCUUCUUCUCUUCUUCUUCUUCUUCUUUUUUUUUUUUCUUCUUUUUUUUUUUUUUCUUUUUUUUUCUUUUCUUCUUCUUCUGGUUCGGUUCGGUUCUCUUUUUUUUUUUUUUUUUUUUUUUUUUUUUUUUUUUUUUUUUUUCUUUUUCAUCCUCCUUCUCCUUCUCCUUUCUCCUCCUUCUUCUUCUUCCUUCUCCUUCCUCCUCAUUCUUCUUCUCCUUCUUCUUCCUUCUUAAGAAGGAAGGAGGAGAAGGAAAAAAAACAGAAAAAAAAAAAAAAAAAAAAACCGAACCCAGAAAAGAAGAGGAAGAAGAAGGAAGAAGAAGGAGAAGAAGAAGGAGGAGGAAGGAGAAGGAAGAAGAAGGAGGAGGAAGAAGGAAAAAAAAAAAAAAGAGAAACCGAAGCCAGAAGAAGAAGAAGGAGAAGAAGAAGGAGGAGGAAAGAGGAGGAAGAAGAAGGAGAAGAAAAAAAAAAAAAAAAGAGAAACCGAACCCAGAAGAAGAAGAAGAAGGAGAAGAAGAAGGAGGAGGAAGGAGAAGGAAGAAGAAGGAGGAGGAGGAGGAAGAAGAAAAAAAAAAAAAAAAAAAAAACCUAACCCAGAAGAAGAAGAAAAAAAAAAUAUUUUAUUAUUAUUUUAAUAUUUUAAUAUUUUAAUAUUUUAAUAUUUUAAUAUUUUAAUAUUUUAAUAUUUUUUAAUAUUAUUUUUAUUUAAAUAAAUUUUUUAUUUUUUUAAUGACACGUGGCGUCCAAUCAGAGCGCCACGUCAUCACUUAACGGGAGAACUAACAGUUUGACUAACAGAUGUAUGAGACUGUCCCAAAAUUUACACUUUAGGUAUGACUCUGGGACGAAAAAAACUUGAUGUACUAAAUGUUGAAAACCACGAAACAUAAGGGUGGUAAACAGUCUUUUACCCAAAAUUCAAAGUAAAGGAAUAAUCAUUUCUCUACAAACAUCAUCAUGACCUUCUUUUUUCUUUUCAACAAACAUAAUCAUUUGUCUCCUCAUAAUGAUGUUCCCACAUUAUUAUGUCCUUCAUUUUUAUUAUAUGCACCGAAAGGUUUUUGGCCACUUGGCCAAUAAUUCAACAAUCUCCACCUUGGCCAAGUUCCGAAAAUGUCAUGAUAAACCAAAACCAGUGUCUUAAAUGCCGAUAAUGUCGGUGAUAUUUCGCCGAUAUUAUCGGUUUUUAGCGAGACCGAUAUUUUAAUGGUUAUCCAAUUGGUUUUCGUCAAAAUAUCGUGAUAUUUUGAUAUUAUCGCGGAAUUUCAGAACUGUGCAAAUCGAAGAAGAACGCGGGAGCUUCUACAGCUCCGGCCAACUGUAAAAGAGCCCACUAGACUCCGAUCUAGGUAUGAAAAUGAAAUAGAAGACGAGAGGAACGUCUUUAUAACGUCCGUUUGCCGUGAAACGGUCGGAGGUGUUCGGAAAGUUCGUCGAUACCCACGGCCUCGCCGGAGAUGGGUGUGCCUAUUCCCGAGCUGAUUUCAUCCCAAAAACCUUGCAAAAACACGAGAUAGAACUUCAAUUUCACAUUUAAGCUUCGAUCUAGAACAAAAAAAGAAAAACCCGAAGCUUACCUAACCGGAGAAAUUGAAGAAACUCACCAGAUCAGGUGCGAUGGUGUGCGUGUGGGUCUCGGUGCAGAGAGAAAUGAGAGGUGUAUGUGGGUCUCAAUGCAGAGAGAAAAGAGAGGGAGGAGCAGAAGGUCGUGGUGUGUGUGUGUGUGGGAGAAGGGAGAAGAGAGAUCGAGAGAUCUCUGUGUGUGUGUGGGGGAGUGGAUAAUGGAGAGAAUAGAGAAGGAUCAAGAGAGAUAGACAUAGGUCUCUGUGUGUCUACAUGUGUGAUGUUUGUGUGCGUGCGUGUGUAGUUGCGUGCGUUGUGUGUGUGUGUGGGGUUCUUCCUGUCAAGACUCAGGACACACUCAGGAACUUCUGACAACUUUUACAAUUAUUUUGACAAUUUCAGACCAUGGACAAAAAUAAUAGUGAUUUCUUUGAAAAGAAUCUAAAUAAUUCAAAGCGUAGACAACUUUUACAAUUAUAACUUGUACAAUUUCAGACCAUGGAUGGUGGUUUCAUUCAAAACCGUGUGCCACUGUGAUAUUCUUUCAAGAGGUGGAGUAUUAGAGCCAUUCAGAGCAUUUUCGUUUCUUCUUCUUCCCUUACCCCUUUUAAAGUCAUUCUAGAUCCAUUCCAGAGCUUGAACACAAAGAGUUCCAUAUUUAAAGUAAGUUUACAAACUUAUAUUUAUAUUAUUGUAAUUUAUACAACAACAACAAAAUUUGUGUGGACUCGUAUGUUAAUUUUUUUAAGUAAUUAAUACUUGCAUGUUAGUUUUUGUAAGUAAUUAAGUAAUGUUAACAAUUACAUGUUAAUUUUUUUAAGUAAUUAAUACUUACAUGUUAGUUUUUGUAAGUAAUUAAGUAAUGUUAACAAUUACAUGUUAAUUUUUUUAAAUAAUUAAGUAAUGUUGUAUAAUUAUUCCCUAGGAUAAUUUUAAUAUGUUUAAUGUUAUUUAUUAUUUUAUUAAUAUUAGGUUUUAUUAUCAAAUUGGAUUAUUAUUCAUUAAUAUUAGGUUUUUUUUUAUUAUCAAAUUGGAUUAUUAUUCAUUAAUAUUAGGUUUUUUUUAUUAUCAAAUUGGAUUAUUAUUCAUUAAAUUGGAUUAUUAUCAAAUUGGAUUAUUCAUUAAAUUGGAUUAUUAUUAAAUUGGAUUAUUAUCAAAUUGGAUUAUUAUUCAUCACUAUGUUUUAUAUUAGGAUUAUUUUUUUAUCAAAUUGGAUUAUUAUUCAUUAAUAUUAGGUUUUAUUAUUCCAUAUUAUUUUUAUAAUUACUUAAAUUUUUACAAUCAUUUUCUUUACUUCGUAUUUAAUUCUUCUGUAGAAUAACUUUAUUAUGUAAGUUCUCUUAUAUAAUCGUCAUCACUACUAUAUUUUUUGGCCAAAAAAUAAUUGUCUAAUUUUCAUGCAAAAUAAAUAUAGGUACGUUUAAGAUGUCCAGUGGAGUUACUAGACGUGAUCCAGCUUGGGAACAUGGAGACCCAAUAGACGGAAACAAACAUGGCACAAUUUGCAAAUAUUGUGGUCAGGUAAUGAAGAGUGGCGGAGUGACACGGCUUAAGUACCAUCUUAGUGGAUUAGAUCCAGCAAAAAAUGUCCAACGAUGCGAUAAUGUCCCCCCCAGAAGUGAAGGCAUUCAUCAGCACAUUAUUAAAAAAUAAAAAACAGCAGAAGGAAAAUAUAACACAUGGAAUGGAAAAUAUUCGAGCUGGGCUACGAGGAGAAGUCAUUGGCCAAGCGGUUGACAGUGAUGAUGAUGACGAUGAGGACGAAUGUGAUGAUGACAUGGGACCUGAAGAACGACGCAGUUUGAAACAAGCAUUACGUGCCUCCAAACAGUCAGCAAGGUUCUGGGACAAGUGGUGGUGCACAAAUAAGACGGGGGGGGGGGGGGCAGUCUUAGAGAAUCACAACCAACACCACCAAUAGCCCUAAGUUUAUAUAAGCCCUCCAAAACACAUCAAAAGAGUGUUUGGAGUUAUUUCACUGGAGGGAAUGGGGCAUCUAAUUAGCAAGUUCUUUAUCUAUAAAAAUGUCUCUGCUGAGAAAGCAUCAUCACAUCAUUUCAAAAAUAUGGUAGUGGGAUGUCAACAGGCCGGUGUUGGAGUACAACCUCCCACUCCCUAUGAGAUAAGAAACAAAUAUUUGGAUAUGGAGUAUAAAGACAUUGGCGAGUAUGUUAACAAGUUGAGGUCAAAGUGGGAAACUAAUGGUUGCACAAUCAUGUGUGACGGAUGGACUGGCCCGACCAGAUUGUCUAUCAUAAACUUCAUGGUAUACUCUAAGGGAAAGACAAUUUUUUUGAAGUCUGUUGAUGCUUCAGACCAUAUAAAGAACUACAAGUAUAUUUACAAAUUAUUGAGGGAUGUAAUCAUGGAGGUGGAAGAGCAUAAUGUUGUCCAAGUCGUGACCGACAACGGUUCUGCAUUUGUCAAAGCUGGAAAAAAGUUAAUGAAGCAUCAUAAUGUGUUUUGGACAUCAUGUACAGCACAUUGUAUUGAUCUCAUGUUUGAGGCAAUGGGGAAGAGAGAGAAUGUUGCUACUGUGGUAAAAAGAGCUAGAACGAUCACAAAUUAUAUUUAUAAUCACGGUUGGUUGUUGGCAAAGAUGCGUGAAUUUUGCAAAGGAGAAAUUAUUCGUCCAACUACCACUCGAUUCGCCACCAACUAUAUUGCAUUAGACAGCCUACUUAAGAAGAAAGCAAGGUUGAAGCAACUAUUCACUAGUGACGAUUGGGCCAACCACAAUUUUAGCCGCUCAAAUGCAGGUCGUAUGGUGGAAAGUAUAGUGCUUGAUGAUCAUGCUUUUUUGGACUCAAUCAGAACAUGUGUGCCAAGUGUUUGAACCUCUUUACAAAGUUUUACGGAUCGUUGACACAGAAGUGUAUCCUACUAUGGGAGCAAUAUAUGAGUUGAUGCGUGUAGUGAAGGAUGAAUUGGAAAGAAAACAUGGUGCAAGGUGGGUCAUAAAGAUAAUUGAAGACCGAUGGUAUAAAACAUUAUACCACGAUUUGCAUGCAGCAGGUAUAAAUUAUGUCAUAAUUUGCAAUUCAUUUCUUUAGUUGCAUAAGUAUUAUUUCUCUUAUUAGAGUAUGUGUUUCUUUGAACAACAUAUUAUUUGAAUCCUCGAUACCAAUACAGACCCGGUGUUGGAGAUGAUGGUACUCUUAUACGUGUUGUACAUAAUGUAUACUCUAAAUUAGACCCUGCAUCACCAGCAGUUGGCCAAUUUGGAAAUGAGGUACACAAUUACUUAAAUUAUAAUAAUUACUUUGUUGGAUUAAACUAACAUGAUUUAUUGAAUUCAGCUAACAUGGUUUAAAGAUGCAAAAAGAACUUUUGGAGAACCAACAUCAGUUGCUGCUGGAACAAAAAUGUCUCCUGGUGAGUGUAAACAUAUUUCACGAUAAGUUUAUAAUAGAAUUUGUUGGAGUUAUUAGGCUUAUCAAUAUUGUUUUUCAUUGUAGCUGAAUGGUGGAUCAUGUAUGAGACCGAUGCACCAACUGUGAGAAAGUUAGCAAUCAAAGUAUUAUCACAAACAGCUUCCUCAUCUGCUUGUGAAAGAAAUUGGAGCACAUUUGCACUCAUACACACAAAGCAAAGAAAUAGGUUGGCUCAUGGUAGGUUGGAAAAAUUAGUUUAUUGCUACUACAACAUGAAGCUUCAAAUUCGAGAUAAGGAAGCAGAAAUAGAUCAUGUCGACCGUGGUGACCUACUAGAUGUGUUUGAUAUUGUUGCUGAAGAUGAUGAUACAUAGGGUAACCAACUUUAUCAAUGGAUUAGACCUCUUCAUUUAGAUGAUGAUGAAGGCAACCCAGCUCCCAGAGUUGCUGAAGAAGCACGUAAUAAAGGGAUAAAUGUAGAAAGAGUAUUAGCGGAGGAGGUGCGAUCUAGCAGCGCUGACUCUUUGGAAGAACUUUUACACCCAAGACCAAGACACUGGAAUUCCACCUUCUUCCAAUCCUACACAACCACAACAUCGUGCUGAUACUAAUGAUAGCUCUAGUACAAGAUCAAGAGGAGACUCACCUACCAUCAGAGGUGGGAAUGAUGAAGGAUAUAGUGGAGCUGGAGGUAGUGGUGGUGGAUAUGGAAACUAUGUUGAACCACAUCCCGGAUUUAUGAGCCCCUUCAUUGGUAAGGCAAACUUUACGCAUGCAACACAGGAUGAGGACCAUGGCAGUAGGCGAGCAGGACCAGGAAUUUAUGCCAUAGGGAAGGACUAUACUCGUAGAGAAAGAUGCAAGGGGAUUUUGUCAAGUCAAGAAGAUGACUUGUUAUCUAUAACUUCGGACUAUGUUGGAUUGGGAAGUAGUAACUAUGGUUAUACUCAUAACCAACCAUUUCCCUACCCUUCAUAUCCGAUUCCUGUUGGGAUGGAAUCGAGUGACUCAUGGAAACAAUUCAAGACUCAAUCUUCAAAUGAUUUUACUUAUGGACAAGGUCAACCAAUCUCGGAUCCAUAUAGAUGGCAUGUUAACAAUUACAUGCAAAACUAUUUUGGGGAUUUAUCAUUUGAUAACUACUCUUCACAAUACACUCACUCUACACAUAAAGAUGAUGAAGAUAGUGAAAAAUUUGAACCUCAUAGGAACUCAAUGUGGUACUAAGUCACUCAUGUAUCUUACCAUGCAAUGUAUAAAGUGUAAAAUAUUGUACUAAUUCAUUAUAUAUAAAUUAUUAUGGUGUGUUUAAACUUCUUUCAUUAAUUACUACAUAUUUUCUACAUUCACAAUGUUUGCCAGCUCGCUAUAUAAUCAACUUGAUAAUGUUAAAUCCAUCAUGCAAUGAAUUUCCUUCCAAUUUUUUUGGGAUAAACUAAUAGAUAAUUGACUAAAUAAACAUCCUGCAAAGUUUCAAUAAAAAUUUCCAAGUUUUUCUUACAAUUUCCGUGGUUUCCAUAUUAUUUUUAUCGAUAUCGAUAUUAUCCCGAUAUUUCCAUCGAUAUUUCCGUGUUUUCGGACUACCGAUAUUUCCGAUAUUAUCGAUAUUUAAUACCUUGACCAAAACAACAUAAUCAACAAAAAUUACUCCCAAACACUAGCAAGAGAACAACUCAUGUCGAGCCAAAUGCUCCAAAACUCCUACUGCUCAAUGCCUUCUUUAUAUAGGCAAAAUGUGAGCCAAGUUUAAGUAAUGAACAAACUUGGCUACACCAACAACCUUAGUCAACAUAUCAGCGGGGUUGUCUUUAGUUGGAAUCUUCUGGAGAAUGAUCUCUCUUUCACCAACGACUUCAUGCACAAAGUGAUAUCGCACAUCUAUGUGCUUGGUUCUUGCAUGAUGAAUCUGAUACUUAGCCAAAUAAAUGGCACUCUGACUGUCACAAUGUACCUCCACCUGCUUUUGGUCAACCCCCAAAUCUCUAAUCAGCCCAUGUAUCCAAAUGGCCUCCUUUAUAGCUUCAGCAACUGCCGCCUCUGUAGUAGACAAGGAAACAGACGACUGCAAAAUGGACCUCCAACAAACUAGUCCUUUAGCCAUAGUAAACACAUAGCCUGUAGUAGACUUCCUUCCAUCCAGAUCACAUGCAUAAUCUGAAUCAACAUAACCAACUGCAAAAUGACCAAUACCAUAGUCAUCUCUCUCAAAGCAUAAACCAACAUCUGGAGUACCAUGGAGAUACCUCAAUAUCCACUUAGCUGCUUGCCAAUGCUCUUUACCUGGGUUAUGCAUAUAUCGACUCACCAUGCUAACUGUAUGAGCAAUAUCUGGUCUAGAGCAUAUCAUUACAUACAUCAAACUACCAACCAAAUUUGCAUAUGGUAUAUUUUUCAUUUGCAGCUUCUCUUUAUCAGUUUUAGGACAUUGUAGAGAACUCAAUUUAAAAUGAGGAGCCAAAUGGGUACUAACCAGUUUGGUUGAAUCAUGAACUCCAAACUUUCGAAUCAACUUCUCAAGGUAUUGUCUUUGAUUCAAACUGAUCAAACCCUUUUCUCUAUCUCUAGUGAUCUCCAUGCUAAGGAUCUUCUUCGCUUCACCAAGAUCCUUCAUCUUAAACUCAUUCUUCAUUUGCUUAUUCAAUUUCUCAAUCUCUUCGACAUUCUUUGAGGCAAUCAAUAUAUCAUCAACAUAUAUCAACAAAUAAAUGAAAGACCCAUCUUGCAACUUCUUGAAAUACACACAAUGAUCAUAUUGACUUCUAGAAUAUUUUUGGCUUCUUAUAAAUUUAUCAAACCUCAAAUACCAUUGCCUUGGAGAUUGCUUCAAGCCAUAAAGUGAUUUCUUCAAAUUGCAAAACAAAUUCUCCUUCCCUUUCACUGUAUACCCAUCCAGUUGACACAUAUAGAUCUCUUCAUUCAAAUCACCAUGUAAGAAAGCCGUCUUCACAUCAAGUUGCACAAGCUCAAGAUCAUAUUGUGCAACAAGAGCUAACAUAAUGCGAAUUGAAGAGUGCUUCACAACCGGUGAAAAGAUUUCAUUGUAGUCAAUGCCCUUCUUUUGUGCAUAUCCUUUAGCAACUAAUCUUGCUUUGAAUCUCACAUUGCUUUUCUCAUCAGCAUCUUCCUUCUUGGCAUACACCCAUUUGCAACCGAUAACUUUCUUGCCCUUAGGCAAUUUAGCUAACUCCCAAGUCUUGUUCUUCAAGAGAGAAUUCAUCUCAUCAACCAUGGCAUUGCACUACCUCCCCUUCUCCUCACUCUCAAUGGCUUCCUCGAAAUUGGAUGGAAUAUCAUCAAUGAUAAUAGGAAGAGUAAAAGCAACAUAGUCACUAUACCGAGCUGGCUUAGUAAUUUGUCUCUUUCCUCUGUUCUUGGCAAUAGACUCUUGAGGUGAAACUUGCUCUUCAACUUGAAUAGAAUCUUCAAGUUCAACUUCUUUAACAUCCUCAUGGUCUCUAACUUCUUCACUUGUAGUGGCUUCGACAUCAGCGGAAAUAGGAUUUGAAGUACCAGAGGCAACUUUCUCAAGCUCCACCUGUUUAACAUCUUUCACAUUCUUCUCAGAGUCUUUGUACAUACUUUAUUCAUCAAAUGUCACAUCUCUACUGAUUACAAGUUUCUUCAUCUCUGGGCACCACAACCUGUAACCUUUAACACCACUACUAAAACCAAGAAAGAUAGCCUUUUUGGCUCUAGGAUCAAUUUUAUUUUCAGUUACAUGAAAAUAAGCAGGCGAACCAAAAAUAUGAAUAUAAUCAUAAUCAGUAGAAGGUUUCCCAGUCCAUACCUCCAUUGGUGUCUUACCCUGAACAGCAGUUGAGGGUAACCGAUUGAUGAUGUGACAUGCAUAAUUAACUGCCUCUGCCCAAAAUGACUUGCUUAAACUCGACUAAGACAACAUACAUCUAACCUUCUCAAGCAAGGUUCGAUUCAAUCUUUCUGCAACUCCAUUUUGUUGUGGAGUUCCUUGGACACUAAAAUGUCUCACAAUCCUUUCCUCUUUGCAAACUUUAAAGAAAGGGUCAGAUUUGUAUUUACCACCAUUAUCCGAUCUCAAAAUCUUAAUCUUUCUCCCAGUCUGGUUCUCAACCAUUUUCUUCCAACUUAAGAAAAUGCUCAAUACCUCACUUUUGUGCUUCAUAGUGUGGACUCAAGACCUUCUUGAAUAAUCAUCAACGAAUGUCACGAACCAAUGUCUACCACUCAAAGAGGGAGUCUUUGUAGGACCCCAAACAUUCGAAUGCACAUAAUCAAGAAUGUCUUUCGUCUGAUGUACUGCAGUACCAAACUUCACUCUAGUUUUCUUUUCCAAGACACAAUGCUCGCAAAAAUCAAGCUCACAAGUCAUGGCACAUUUUAGAAGACCUUUUUUCACAAGCCCUUGUAGAGCUUUCUCACCGGCAUGGCCUAAUCUCAUAUGCCACAGUCUAGUAGUAUCUGAAUCAGAUGAGCCCAUAUUUUCUGAGACUACAGACGCUUCACCUGUCACGGUGCUUCCUUGUAAUAGAUACAAAUGACCACAUUGAUGAGCUUUCAUCACAACAAGUGCACCAUAAGUAACUUUCAAUGUCUGCCCAUCUGAAUGAAACAUGAGGCCCUUGGAUUCUAAAGUGCCCAAAGAAAUAAGAUUUUUCUUCAAAUUCGGUACAUACCGAACACCUGUCAACUCUUUAACCAUGCCAUCAUGCAACUUCAAACGAACUGUACCAAUCCCUUUUGUUGUACAAGGGAUUGUCAUCUUCCAUGAACACAACACCACCAUCAAACUCUUUCAAGCUUGAAAACCAAUCCUUAUGAGGAGUCAUUUGAUGAGUACAACCCGUAUCCAACACCCAUUUAGUAGCACAAUCAAAUGAUGAGGAAGUGGUUAAAGCAAAAUAAAAAAAAUCUGUUUCAACCUCAGCAACAUUGGCUUCAGAACUUUCUUUUCCUUUGGUCUUCAACCUAUGACAAUCUUUCUUCCAAUGACCCUUAUUAUGACAAAAGGCACAUUCAUCCUUUUCUAAGGUUUUUCUACCUUUAGAGUUUCCUCUAGGUCGAGAGUGAUUUUUUCUUACUAGAAGAGGAUCUCCUCUCCGAUGAUCUAUCUCUGACAAAUAAAACUUCAGAGGUACUAUCAUGAUUUUUAUCUAUAUGCCACAUUUCAUAAUUCAUCAAAGCAUUUGACACAUCUUCAAAUUUCACAGUUUCUUUACCAUGCAUAAUAGUGGUAACAAAAUGCUCAUAAGAGUCCGGCAAAGAAUUCAACAAUAUUAAGGCCUUAUCUUCAUCUUUAAUAUCCUCAUCUAAAUUUAGCAAGUCGGCAAUCAACUUAGUAAAAGCAUCAAGGUGUCUAAUCAUUUUUGUACCUUCUUUGUAUUGGAAGCGGUAGAGCUUUUUCUUCAAGUGUAGCCGGUUCUCUGUCUCCCGCAUCACAAAAUAUUUCUAAGUUUUUGCAAGGCACAACCGAUUGAAGAGCAAGCCGACAAAUUUAAUUUCUCCCAUUCCGGCUUCGACAUAGCUUCCGGCUUCUCUCAUAAAGCAGCAAGUAGAUCUUGUUGAGCCAACACAUAUUUGACCUCACAUUGCCAAUUGUUUGUGCCAUCAAAAUUUUCUACUUCGAACUUUGCAUUUUGCACUGUAUUUCUUGCAAACCCAGAGCUGCUUCCAAAAGGAUUCUCAUCUUGCCCGUCUGACAUCUUUGGCAACUAGACAGUACCCAAGAGCAACCAGUGCUCUUAUACCAAUUAUUGUGCUAGGAUAUCACCACACCAAUUAUAACCAACUCAAGCUAACCCACAGGAAAUAUAUCAAAUGAAAUGCAAGAACAAAAUAUUAAAGACACCAAGAUUUUAACGAGGUUCCUCAACAGUCAGUGUAACUGGAGUACAUCCUCAGAGCAGUAGGAUCUCACCCAAUAAUUCACUAUAAACCAAAUGGAAGUUUACAAAGUGUUGGCAAGCUCACAACUCAAAAAAUCCCAAUACAACCAAUAGCUCUCACACACCAAAAAAACAAAUAGAGAAAGAAAUAUAGUAAUUAAUUUCUUCUCUAUACAAAGCUCAAAGCUAUUAUAACAACAAUUAUCUUGGUCGAUGAUUACUAACCAAAGAGAGGAGCAUUUUCUUCUUCUCUUCAAAGAGGGGCUGCAACACUUUUAUUUUUUCUUUUCUGUUUUUCUGGUGCACUCUACAACUACAAUCAGAAAAUGCUCUCUAUUUUCUACACCUUUUACAACUCCCUUUCUGUUUCUCUCAUUUCCAAAGGCUAAAUAAAAAAUUCAAAGUAAAGGAAUAAUCAUUCCUCUACAAACAUCAUCAUGACCUUCUUUUUUCUUUUCAACAAACAUAAUCAUUUGUCUCCUCAUAAUGAUGUUUCCACAUCAUUAUGUCCUUCAUUUUUAUUAUAUGCACUGAAAGGUUUUUGGCCACUUGGCCACUAAUUCAACAGAUGAGUCUCCCCAUUUUCCUCUCGAG
rnacentral:lncRNA from 1 species